UCAAAAUUAUGGGAUGGGGUUGGGUGGGUUCUUUGGAUGAAAUAAGAUUAGACACAUUGUUAAUAUGAAUGUUUGAUAAUUUCAAUAAUAAAAACUGUGUGUGUGUGUGUGUGUGUGUGUGUGUGUUUAGGCAGAAGGUAGGACAUGCAUGAAGGCCCUGAGGCAAGAAGGACUAGGUUUGUUCUCAGGUCUCCAAAGAAAAACAGAGUAGGUGGAGCGUAAAGAACUAGAGGCAGACAGCCCAGGCCCUUGAG
rnacentral:sRNA from 1 species